ensembl:lncRNA
GGCAAGCCGGGGAAGGACUGAGGCUACUGAUCACCCCCCACCCCUCAGCUUUGUUUUUCCCUUUUUGGGCUGCACUUUGCAGUGUGUGGGAUCUUAGUUCCCCAACCACAGAUCAAACCUGCACCCGCUGCGUUGGAAGCUCGUAGAGUCUUUAACCGCUGGACCACCAGGGAAGUCUGAGCACUCAGCUUUUGAAGUGGGCCCAUCACUCAGAAGCGUGCCAUCAUCAUACCCACAAUGCCAGACCUAAGACUCAGAGAUUUGGCUCCAGAGAGGAGAGGCAGGUUUAAAACAGGGAACUGACUCCAUUUGCAAGCUCAAGCUUAACUGUGCUCUCAAAACCUGGAGGUUUUGGUGAAAGGCUAUUGGCAGGAGACCCAUAGCUUCAUUGGAGACAGAAGCUAAACUGAACUGGCUAGUUUGCUAGAAAUGGGGAAAGAUAAAGCAGGAAGGAACUUUCUCUCUUGGGGUCAGAACAAAUCUCAAAUACUGACCUUUGAAACUAUCCCUUCAAAGAAGCCUGCAUUUGAUUGGAUCCAUUUGUGGAGUCAUUUAUUCCCCAGCGCACUGUUGGCAGAUCAGCCAACAACCAGUGUCGUUUUAACAGCUGGGUGCGGUCAGGGAAAGAGACACAGAGAGAUCCUUGCAAGUCACUGUCAUGCUAGGUUGACUAUGGGCUUAACUCAGGGCUGCACCCACCUAAGGAGCAACAUCAGAGGCUCCACACUGUGUAUCGGGGAGGGCAGUGGGGAGCAGACAGACUCACUAAAAUAACCCAGCCACUCACUAAACAAGGAAACUUGUUUACCUGGACCAGAAACAAGGAAUUGCUAAACUGGUUUCCAAGGUGGCCACACUAUUUUACAUGAGGGUUCUAAUUCCUCUACAUCCUUGCCUACACUAAUUUUCUGACCUUUUUGAUUAUAGCCAUCGUAGUGGAGUGUGACAUGACUUGAGUCAAUUCUAGUUUGCAUUUCCCUGAUGACUAAUGGUGUUGAGCAGCUUCAUCAGAAGCCCUGGAAAAUUCACAAAUAUCUGGAAACCAGCCCAAAACUCCUACAAAACCAAUUGAAAAAGAAUAAAGUUGAAGUAGUCACACUUAGCAAUUUCAAAACUUACUACAAAGAAAUAGUAAUCAGUGAAGUGUAGCGCUGGCAGGAGGAUAGACCUAUAGAUAAGUGGAAAAGAAUUCAGAGUCUAGAAAGAAACCCAUGUGUCUGUGGUCAACAAAUUUUUGACAAGGGUGCCAAGACCAUUCAGUGGGGAAAGAAUAGUCUUUUCAACAAAGUGCUGGGACAACUGGAUAGCCAC